rnacentral:rRNA from 1 species
UACGUAGGUCCCGAGCGUUGUCCGGAUUUAUUGGGCGUAAAGCGAGCGCAGGCGGUUUGAUAAGUCUGAAGUAAAAGGCUGUGGCUUAACCAUAGUAUGCUUUGGAAACUGUCAAACUUGAGUGCAGAAGGGGAGAGUGGAAUUCCAUGUGUAGCGGUGAAAUACGUAGAUAUAUGGAGGAACACCGGUGGCGAAAGCGGCUCUCUGGUCUGUAACUGACGCUGAGGCUCGAAAGCGUGGGGAGCAAACAGG